rnacentral:rRNA from 1 species
CACGGGGGGAGCAAGCGUUGUUCGGAAUCACUGGGCGUAAAGGGCGUGUAGGCGGUCAGGUAAGUGGGAUGUGAAAGCCCCCGGCUCAACUGGGGAGGGUCACGCGAUACUGAUCGACUCGAAGGCAGGAGAGGGUAGUGGAAUUCCCGGUGUAGUGGUGAAAUGCGUAGAUAUCAGGAGGAACACCGGUGGCGAAGGCGGUGGUCUGGGCCGGCACUGACGCUGAGGAGCGAAAGCGUGGGUAGCAAACAGG